rnacentral:pre_miRNA from 1 species
UUGGAAGUAGAGAAGGCAAUAAAUAAUGAAUGAUAUAAUAGGAAAAGUAACAUUAAUGAUUCAUUGGUAUUGUAAAGCGACAUACAAUUU